rnacentral:rRNA from 1 species
AGGGCACCACCAGGAGUGGAGCCUGCGGCUUAAUUUGACUCAACACGGGAAAACUUACCCGGCCCGGACACUGGAAGGAUUGACAGAUUGAGAGCUCUUUCUUGAUUCACUGGGUGGUGGGGCAUGGCCGUUCUUAGUUGGUGGAGCGAUUUGUCUGGUUAAUUCCGAUAACGAACGAGACUCUAGCCUACUAAAUAGACCAGAGGCUUCUUAAAACACGUCUCUGGCUGCUUCUUAGAGGGACAGGCGGCGAUUCAGCCGCACGAAACACAGCAAUAACAGGUCUGUGAUGCCCUUAGAUGUCCGGGGCCGCACGCGCGCUACACUGAAGUGAUCAGCGUGCUUUUUGUACCCUGCUCUGCCAAGAGUGGGUAACCCAAUGAACCUUCUUCGUGAUUGGGAUAGGGGAUUGUAAUUAUUCCCCUUGAACGAGGAAUUCCCAGUAAGCGCGAGUCAUAAGCUCGCGUUGAUUACGUCCCUGCCCUUUGUACACACCGCCCGUCGCUACUACCGAUUGAA